rnacentral:rRNA from 1 species
UACGGAGGGUGCAAGCGUUAUCCGGAUUCACUGGGUUUAAAGGGUGCGUAGGCGGGCAUGUAAGUCCGUGGUGAAAUCUCCGAGCUUAACUCGGAAACUGCCAUUGAUACUAUCUGUCUUGAAUACCGUGGAGGUCAGCGGAAUAUGUCAUGUAGCGGUGAAAUGCUUAGAUAUGACAUAGAACACCAAUUGCGAAGGCAGCUGGCUACACGAAUAUUGACACUGAUGCACGAAAGCGUGGGGAUCAAACAGG